UACGUAGGGUGCUAGCGUUGUCCGGAAUUAUUGGGCGUAAAGAGCUCGUAGGCGGUCUGUCGCGUCUGCUGUGAAAAUCCAGGGCUCAACCCUGGACCUGCAGUGGGUACGGGCAGACUAGAGUGCGGUAGGGGAGAUCGGAAUUCCUGGUGUAGCGGUGAAAUGCGCAGAUAUCAGGAGGAACACCGGUGGCGAAGGCGGAUCUCUGGGACGUAACUGACGCUGAGGAGCGAAAGCAUGGGGAGCGAACAGG
rnacentral:rRNA from 1 species